GUGAUCAUCACUGAACACAGAAUGUUCAGCAUGGAGUUGAGACAGAGCUUGGUUUUUCUUGUUAUUCUUUUAAAAGGUGUCCAGUGUGAGGUGCAGCUGGUGGAGUCUGGGGGAGGCUUAGUGCAGCCUGGAAAGUCCCUGAAACUCUCCUGCGCAGCCUCUGGAUUCACAUUCAAUAAUGCCUGGAUGGACUGGGUCCGCCAGGCUCCAGGGAAGGGGCCAGAGUGGGUUGCUGAAAUUGGAACCAAAACCUUUAAUUAUGAAACACGCUAUGUGGAGUCUGUGAAAGGCAGAUUCACUAUCUCAAGAGAUGAUUCCAAAAGCAGCCUCUACCUGCAAAUGAACAGCUUAAGAGCUGAAGACACCGCCAUUUAUUACUGUAUUAGACACAGUGAGGGACCUUCAGUGAGAACCCUGACACAAACCUCCCUGCAGCAGUGCUCAGGACCAGCAGGGGGCGCAGAGCGCACAUUGAGAACAGAGACACAGUAG